UUUUUUGAAUUUUAUUUUUGUGAAAUGAAUUUGUAGGGCUUUGGAUUGCAAAACAGGGGAGAGCUUAUGAAUUAUAGCUCUGAAAUACUUGCAGGUUUUCUGUGGGGUGCCCUGCAAAUUCAAAGCCUAAAUUAAAAAAUGGCAUCAUAGUACGGAUUUGUUGCAGUUCUAAGUAUGGGUUUUUGCUUCUGAAAGUGAAUUUUGUUCACUUUUUUGAGUCAAUUUCCCAUUUAGAACUCUUUCGUUCACAAAUUCGCCUCCAAACGCCAUUACAUUUU